UGGGGAAUAUUGCACAAUGGACGGAAGUUUGAUGCAGCGACGCCGCGUGGAGGGUGUAGGCCUUCGGGUUGUGAACUCCUUUUUCUCGCGAAAAAGGCACAGUUUUGGCUGUGUUGAUGGUAGUGGGGGAAGAAGCGCCGGCUAACUACGUGCCAGCAGCCGCGGUAAUACGUCGGGCGCGAGCGUUGUCCGGAUUUAUUGGGCGUAAAGAGCUCGUAGGUGGUUCGUCGCGUCUGUCGUGAAAGCCAGCAGCUUAACUGUUGGUCUGCGGUGGGUACGGGCGGGCUUGAGUGCGGUAGGGGUGACUGGAAUUCCAGGUGUAGCGGUGGAAUGCGCAGAUAUCAGGAGGAACACCGAUGGCGAAGGCAGGUCACUGGGCCGUUACUGACACUGAGGAGCGAAAGCGUGGGGAGCGAACAGG
rnacentral:rRNA from 1 species